AUUGAACGCUGGCGGCAGGCCUAACACAUGCAAGUCGAACGGUAACAGGAAGCAGCUUGCUGCUUCGCUGACGAGUGGCGGACGGGUGAGUAAUGUCUGGGAAACUGCCUGAUGGAGGGGGAUAACUACUGGAAACGGUAGCUAAUACCGCAUAACGUCGCAAGACCAAAGAGGGGGACCUUAGGGCCUCUUGCCAUCGGAUGUGCCCAGAUGGGAUUAGCUAGUAGGUGGGGUAACGGCUCACCUAGGCGACGAUCCCUAGCUGGUCUGAGAGGAUGACCAGCCACACUGGAACUGAGACACGGUCCAGACUCCUACGGGAGGCAGCAGUGGGGAAUAUUGCACAGUGGGCGCAAGCCUGAUGCAGCCAUGCCGCGUGUAUGCAGAAGGCCUUCGGGUUGUAAAGUACUUUCAGCGGGGAGGAAGGGAGUAAAGUUAAUACCUUUGCUCAUUGACGUUACCCGCAGAAGAAGCACCGACUAACUCCGUG
rnacentral:rRNA from 1 species